rnacentral:rRNA from 1 species
UACAGAGGUGGCAAGCGUUGUUCGGAAUUACUGGGCGUAAAGGGCGCGUAGGCGGUCUUGUAAGUCCUGUGUGAAAUCCCUCGGCUCAACUGAGGAACUGCACGGGAUACUGCGAGACUUGAGUUCGGGAGAGGGAAGCGGAAUUCCGGGUGUAGCGGUGAAAUGCGUAGAUAUCCGGAGGAACACCGGUGGCGAAGGCGGCUUCCUGGACCGAUUACUGACGCUGAGGCGCGAAAGCUAGGGGAGCAAACGGG